UACGUAGGGUCCGAGCGUUGUCCGGAAUUAUUGGGCGUAAAGAGCUCGUAGGCGGUUUGUCGCGUCUGCUGUGAAAUCCCGAGGCUCAACCUCGGGCCUGCAGUGGGUACGGGCAGACUUGAGUGGUGUAGGGGAGACUGGAAUUCCUGGUGUAGCGGUGGAAUGCGCAGAUAUCAGGAGGAACACCGGUGGCGAAGGCGGGUCUCUGGGCAGUAACUGACGCUGAGGAGCGAAAGCGUGGGGAGCGAACAGG
rnacentral:rRNA from 1 species